ACGUAGGGUGCGAGCGUUAAUCGGAAUUACUGGGCGUAAAGCGUGCGCAGGCGGUUCGCUAAGACAGACGUGAAAUCCCCGGGCUUAACCUCGGAACGGCGCUUGAAACUGGCGGACUAGAGUACGGUAGAGGGGGGUAGAAUUUCAGGUGUAGCGGUGAAAUGCGUAGAGAUGUGAAGGAAUACCGAUGGCGAAGGCAGCCCCCUGGACAGAUACUGACACUCA
rnacentral:rRNA from 1 species